GGACUGUGGCUCAGUGGUAGAGUGCUCACCUCGAAUGCGUGAGGCACUGGGUUCGAUCCUCAGCACCA
rnacentral:tRNA from 1 species